GAUGAACGCUGACAGAAUGCUUAACACAUGCAAGUCUUUGGCGAAGUUGUGCUUGCACAGCCUAGCCAAGGCGGACGGGUGAGUAACGCGUAAGGAACUUGCCCUGCAGUCAGGGAUAACAGACGGAAACGACUGAUAAGACCUGGUAAAGUCAGGCGGACUCAUGUCCAGCCUGAUGAAAAGUGAUGCUGCAGGAGAGCCUUGCGUCCUAUUAGCUUGUUGGUGGGGUAACGGCCCACCAAGGCGAUGAUAGGUAGCCGGCCUGAGAGGGUGGACGGCCACAAGGGGACAGAGAUACGGCCCUUACGCCUACGGGAGGCAGCAGUGGGGAAUAUUGGACAAAGGGGGCAACCCUGAUCCAGCAAUUCUGUGUGCACGAUGAAGGUUUUCGGAUUGUAAAGUGCUUUCAGCAGGGAAGAAAAAAAUGACGGUACCUGCAGAAGAAGCGACGGCUAAAUACGUG
rnacentral:rRNA from 1 species